GAUGAACGCUGGCGGCGUGCUUAACACAUGCAAGUCGAACGGAAAGGCCCAAGCUUGUUUGGGUACUCGAGUGGCGAACGGGUGAGUAACACGUGGGUGAUCUGCCCUGCACUUCGGGAUAAGCCUGGGAAACUGGGUCUAAUACCGGAUAGGACCACUUCUUGGAUGUUGUGGUGGAAAGUUUUUUCGGUGUGGGAUGAGCUCGCGGCCUAUCAGCUUGUUGGUGGGGUAAUGACCUACCAAGGCGUCGACGGGUAGCCGGCCUGAGAGGGUGUACGGCCACAUUGGGACUGAGAUACGGCCCAGACUCCUACGGGAGGCAGCAGUGGGGAAUAUUGCACAAUGGGCGCAAGCCUGAUGCAGCGACGACGCGGGGGGGAUGACGGACUUCGGGUUGUAAACUCCUUUCGCUAGGGACGAAGCGUUUUGUGACGGUACCUGGAGAAGAAGCACCGGCUAACUACGUG
rnacentral:rRNA from 1 species